rnacentral:lncRNA from 1 species
CCGCCGGCCAAGGGGCCCAAGCCGGAGAAGCCCCCGACCAAGGGCCACGGCCACAAGCCGGAGAAGCCGCCCAAGGAGCACAAGCCGACUCCGCCCACCUACACCCCGAGCCCCAAGCCCACGCCGCCGCCGGCUACUCCCAAGCCGACGCCGCCCACCUACACGCCGAGCCCUAAGCCCAAGUCGCCGGUCUACCCUCCCCCGCCGAAAGCCAGUACUCCUCCGACCUACACCCCGAGCCCCAAGCCUCCGGCGACCAAGCCGCCUACCUACCCGACCCCCAAGCCACCAGCUACCAAGCCUCCGACACCUCCUGUGUACACUCCGAGCCCCAAACCACCGGUUACAAAGCCUCCUACACCCAAGCCGACCCCGCCGGUGUACACGCCGAACCCCAAGCCACCGGUUACCAAGCCUCCGACACACACGCCGAGCCCCAAGCCUCCGACAUCCAAGCCGACUCCGCCGGUGUACACACCGAGCCCCAAGCCACCGAAGCCGUCCCCGCCGACGUACACGCCGACCCCGAAGCCACCGGCUACCAAGCCGCCCACCUCAACUCCGACGCACCCUAAGCCGACGCCGCACACGCCUAUCCCCAAGCCCACGCCGCCAACCUACAAGCCGGCACCGAAGCCGACGCCGCCGGCGCCCACCCCGCCGACAUACACGCCGCCGGUGUCGCACACCCCCAGCUCGCCGCCGCCGCCGCCGCCGCCGCCUUACUACUAGAC